AGACGACAGGAGAGCGGCGGCCAUCGAUCCCGCGCCGCGAGGACGCGAAGCUUAAGCAGAAGUCUUCCAAGUUCACGCUGGCAACGGAUGACCUAACACAAACCUGACUGGACAAAAUUGCAUGGCUCCAAGAUAGGUUUCACAUGUGAUUGCUGAUAGUUCUUGGAGAAAGACACUGCAAGUGGAGUAAGCAAAACUCACAAACCAUAAGAACCAAGGUUAAGGCUGCGAGCCCUCACAUUUU